rnacentral:lncRNA from 1 species
AGGUGGUAGCAGCAUGAUCAGUAGAGAACCCUGUGGUUGGGCAGUAGCAGCCUAAGGAGCACCGAUAGAGAGCAGAAGCAGGGCUUAGGACAGACAGUCAGGCAGCGGACAGCGGUCAUUCUAUGGGUUCAGAGGAUCUCCUGGAGAGAGAGCCUUUAUGAGGGAGAGCUUCUUAUUGAGAGAGAGAAAUUGAUGUAUGAGGAUUGAGGGUGUGAUCU